rnacentral:rRNA from 1 species
UACGGAGGGUGCGAGCGUUGUUCGGAAUCACUGGGCGUAAAGCGCGUGUAGGCGGCCUCUUAAGUCUGAUGUGAAAGCCCGGGGCUCACCCCCGGAAGUGCAUUGGAUACUGGGGGGCUGGAGUACCGGAGAGGAGGGUGGAAUUCCUGGUGUAGCGGUGAAAUGCGUAGAUAUCAGGAGGAACACCGGUGGCGAAGGCGGCUCACGGGCCCGAUAAUGACGCUGAGGUGCGACAGCGUGGGGAGCAAACAGG